ensembl:lncRNA
AGAUGACGUUACGUCAGUAUAAUACCUGCGUGUUGGACUUUUAGUUUAGAUUUGAGCUCAGAGAUGUUGGAAGCGACAUAGUUUUUUGACCGUGUGAACUUGUAACUCGUAAGUUUUCUAGUAAACAUUUUUUAUGGAAGAUUUACUUGUCUCACUCGCGUGUCAAUUAAUAGUUUCUAAGACUGAACUCAAAAUUGUGGUACAGAAGACUCAGAACAGACGGAGUGCCACUACACUGGGAAUGAGCAUUAACAGUGGAGACUUACCAUACUGUUUCUGUUGCUGUGCUUUAACAGGUGUGAUACGGUUUUUACUUAUCUUUCUUAAUGUAUAUAUUACAUGCCUGUUCUUAUUUUGGCCUGUUUGAGAUAUGCUGGGAAUGAGCAUUAACAGUGGAGACUUACCAUACUGUUUCUGUUGGUGUGCUUUAACAGGAGUGAUACGAAAUAAAUAUCCAUCUCAGCAACUGUUGUACGAGUCACAUAUAUUAAUACACAACGCAGAAGUUACACCGGUUACAUAGACAUGCCGGAUAGAUUUGGCUAGUUUUCAUAAUAUGUCCCCUUUAAAUAACAUAAUAAUGGAAUUAAAUAUACACCAUGAAUCAACAUUGUUUUCUAAAUCUAUUUGUUAUGAAGGACAGGUUGUAAGAAUAUGUUAUUCAAAGACGUCUGAGGAUUUAAAUGUACUUUAUUGUUCAGAAUAAAGGUAGGCCUACAGUCACCUUCAGACUGACAGUGUUACCAUUGGAUGUUGUUCUUCUUUGUUCCUCAAGCCAGGACAAUAUGGCUUCAAAGUUUAAAUGGAGAACAUUGUUUAGUUUAGUAUAGUUUAAGUGUGACUAGAUUUAUGUGAGAAUCGAUGUGACCCAAAUUUGGAUAAAAAUGUCCAUCCGUUAUUGUCUACUAUUGUACCUUUAUCAACUUUGAGGACGAUCGAUUUGUCGUGUGAGAUUGAUAUGCAAGAUCUAACCUCCCAUCGAUUAAUAUUUGUGUGCAAUUAGUUGGGAAAGACACUAGAGGGCGGACAAAAUCUGCCUUUGUGUCUCCCCGAAGAAGACGGAAGGGCAUU